UACGUAGGGGGGCAAGCGUUGUCCGGAUUUAUUGGGCGUAAAGAGCGUGUAGGCGGCCAGGUAGGUCUGCUGUGAAAAACUCGAGGCUUAACCUCGAGAUGUCGGCGGAAACCAUCUGGCUAGAGUCCGGAAGAGGAGAGUGGAAUUCCUGGUGUAGCGGUGAAAUGCGCAGAUAUCAGGAAGAACACCCGUGGCGAAGGCGGCUCUCUGGGGACGGUACUGACGCUG
rnacentral:rRNA from 1 species